GCAGCGAACAAUUUCCUAAUGAAGUACUGGAAAAGACAACCUUUUUCUCCAUUACUAUUUGGAAUUGUAGAUCACAUACAUCACCUGUUCCAACACCACGAGUCGAAUAAAUAAUGAAUCUUUUUAUAAAGAGUAUCCGUCUUGGAGGGAUAGUCCCGUUGUAGAGAUGUUUCACUUGUGCAAAAUAUCCAACAUAUCUAUUCUGACAAGGAGUUUCUACUCCCUGAAAUUUAUUGCUGUGGGUUUUAUCUGUUCGCCUUUCUCCAAAAUAAUACAGGCUUUCCUCUGCAGUUAAAAAUAUUUCGGAGGCAAUAAGGAGCGCACAAACCAUAGUUCCGGUUCUUCCUUUCCACUGGAGAUCCACGCAACCCGGGCAGAGGAAGAGAUUGUUUCUCCCAAGCCUUGGAGCUCAUUCGAGGAGAGACUUGGAGACUUUGUGAGGGAAAGACACAGGGAAACGCUGCCGGCAUUUUCCCAAACCUGGACUGGGAGCAGGACAACACUGGGGGAUCUUCCCUAUCUGGUUCAACCCAUCUUGUGCCCCCAAUCCCCCUACCCCUACAUUUUCUAUUUGAUGUUUUGGGGGAAUUUUUUUAUUUUUGCCGCUUUCCUUAGUUUCUGUCUCCAUUACAACAUCCUAACACUCUAAUUGGCUUUGUAUGGGACAAACAGGAAGUAUUGCUUCUGGCAGGAUGGGAUUUUCUGUCCUGUUGAUUGAUGGAUUAAUUUUUAUUGAGCACGGUGUGCUACCAGCGGAACCAAAAAUCCAAGAUACAAUUCCAGCUCUAGGAGUCUAUGUUCUAAUAAAAGUAAGAACAACAUAUUCAAACAUCCCUGUUUCUUUUUCUCGUCAGUUUCCCUUCUACUGAGACAACUACACAGAUAAUUUAGGACCCCAAAACAUGCUAUUAAAAAAGGACCUGACUGGACCAGACAGCUGGGUGGGGG
rnacentral:lncRNA from 10 species